UACGUGGGGGGCAAGCGUUGUUCGGAAUUACUGGGCGUAAAGGGUCUGUAGGUGGCCAACUAAGUCAGACGUGAAAUCCCUCAGCUUAACUGGGGAACUGCGUCUGAUACUGGUUGGCUUGAGUGCAGGAGAGGAAUGCGGAAUUCCAGGUGUAGCGGUGAAAUGCGUAGAUAUCGAGAGGAACACCUGCGGCGAAGGCGGGUUGCUGGGCUGAUACUGACGCUGAGGCGCGAAAGCCAGGGGAGCGAACGGG
rnacentral:rRNA from 1 species